AAGGUGUUGCUAACUGGUUGCUAGGCAGUUGCUAUAAUUUCUAAAGUGGUUGCUAAGUGGUUGCUAGGCAGUUGCUAACGUUUUCCUAGUGGUUGCUAAGGUGUUGCUAAGUGGUUGCUAGGCAGUUGCUAUCGUUUCUAAAGUGGUUGCUAAGCUGUUGCUAGGCUGUUUCUAACGUUUUCCUGGUGGUUGCUAAGGUGUUGCUAACUGGUUGCUAGGCAGUUGCUAUAAUUUCUAAAGUGGUUGCUAAGUGGUUGCUAGGCAGUUGCUAACGUUUUCCUAGUGGUUGCUAAGGUGUUGCUAAGUGGUUGCUAGGCAGUUGCUAUCGUUUCUAAAGUGGUUGCUAAGCUGUUGCUAGGCUGUUUCUAACGUUUUCCUGGUGGUUGCUAAGGUGUUGCUAACUGGUUGCUAGGCAGUUGCUAUAAUUUCUAAAGUGGUUGCUAAGUGGUUGCUAGGCAGUUGCUAACGUUUUCCUAGUGGUUGCUAAGGUGUUGCUAAGUGGUUGCUAGGCAGUUGCUAUCGUUUCUAAAGUGGUUGCUAAGCUGUUGCUAGGCUGUUUCUAACGUUUUCCAGGUGGUUGCUAAGGUGUUGCUAACUGGUUGCUAGACAGUUGCUAUAAUUUCUAAAGUGGUUGCUAAGUGGUUGCUAGGCAGUUGCUAACGUUUUCCAGGUGGUUGCUAAGGUGUUGCUAAGUGGUUGCUAGGCUGUUUCUAACGUUUUCCAGGUGGUUGCUAAGGUGUUGCUAACUGGUUGCUAGGCAGUUGCUAUAAUUUCUAAAGUGGUUGCUAAGUGGUUGCUAGGCAGUUGCUAACGUUUUCCAGGUGGUUGCUAAGCAGUUAAUAGGUGGUUGCUAAACCCUGGCUGGGGUGCCGGGGUGUCCAAACUUUUGACUGAUAGGUGCUCCAUACAGCAACUCCUCCAUACACUCACAGUACUGGAGGAGCAGGGGAGAGAAGGGGUUCCGUGCGCAGAGCUGCUCGUGUGUGAGAUAGAACUCUGGGCCCCCCAUUCAUUUCUAUGGGAAAACUUCGUACGACAAUUGUACGAAAACCGUACGACGUAUCGUCAAAACGUUUACAUUUUCGGAAAGAACGCGGUAAGGUCUAUAGACCGUCUGAUUUUUGUAUUUGUAUGUCAAAAAUUGUGGCGGUUACGGACGUUUAAAAUUUCGCCCCAUUCAUUCCUAUGGGAAAAAAAUGCGUACGUUUACGAAGUUUUUACGAAAACCGUACGAUGUAUCGCUUCAAAAAGCACAAGCAACCUAAUCGGGUAUAGGUUCUACGAUACUGCAAAAUUUCGUGAUUCUACGUCAAAAGCUGUAGGAGGAGUAGUGUUUUAAAUUUUGUUGCGAGAAUAAUAAUAAUAAUAAUAACUAGAAAAGGCAAAGUUCGUGAACGAACUUUAAGUUGGCUUGGAAAAGAACGCUAAUAACGUUAAAAAGUUAAAAUGGUUGCUAAGCUGUUUCUGUCUGAAGAGUGUGAAGAGUCGUGGAUAUGCUGUUAACUUUUGGCUAAACGCUAAAUGCCAAAAACGCCGAAAUCUAAAAAUGUUUGGUUAAACGCUGAAAUCUAAAAACGUUUGGUUAAACGCUGAAAUCUAAAAACGCUUGGUUAAACGCUGAAAUCUAAAAACGUUUGGUUAAACGCUGAAAUCUAAAAACGUUUAGUUAAACGCUGAAAUCUAAAAACGUUUGUUUAAAUGCUGAAAUCGUAAAACUUCUGGUUAAUCUUUUGAUUGCCAAUUUGAUCCUAGGCAGUUGCUAUCAUUUCUGAAGUGGUUGCUAAGCUGUUGCUAGGCAGUUGCUAAUGUUUUCCAGGUGGUUGCUAAGCUGUUGCUAACUGGUUGCUAGGCAAUUGCUAACAUAUACCAGGUGGUUGCUAAGGUGUUGCUAGGUGGUUGCUAGGGUGUUGCUAGGUUGUUGCUAAGGUGUUGCUAUGGUAUCCGGAGUGGUUGCUAAGAUGUUGCUAGGUGGUUGCUAAUGUGUUGCUAGGUGGUUGCUAAGGUGUUGCUAUGGUAUCUGGGGUGGUUGCUAAGGUGUUGCUAGGGUGUUGCUAGGUGGUUGCUAGGGUGUUGCUAGGUGGUUGCUAAGGUGUUGCUAUGGUAUCUGGGGUGGUUGCUAAUGUGUUGCUAGGUGGUUGCUAAGGUGUUGCUAUGGUAUCUGGGGUGGUUGCUAAAGUGUUGCUAGGGUGUUGCUAGGUGGUUGCUAGGGAGUUGCUAGGUGGUUGCUAAGGUGUUGCUAUGGUAUCUGGGGUGGUUGCUAAGGUGUUGCUAGGUGGUUGCUAGGGUGUUGCUAUGGUAUCCGGGGUGGUUGCUAAGGUGUUGCUAGGUGGUUGCUAGGUGGUUGCUAAGGUGUUGCUAGGUGGUUGCUAGGUGGUUGCUAAGAUGUUGCUAUGUGGUUGCUAAGGUGUUGCUAUGGUAUCCUGGGUGGUUGCUAAGGUGUUGCUAGGUGGUUGCUAAGGUGUUGCUAUGCGGUUGCUAAGGUGUUGCUAUGGUACCUGGGGUGGUUGCUAAGGUGUUGCUAGGUGGUUGCUAGGGUGUUGCUAUGGUAUCCGGGGUGGUUGCUAAGGUGUUGCUAGGUGGUUGCUAGGUGGUUGCUAAGGUGUUGCUAGGUGGUUGCUAAGGUGUUGCUAUGGUAUCUAGGGUGGUUGCUAAGGUGUUGCUAGGUGGUUGCUAGGGUGUUGCUAGGUGGUUGCUAGGUGGUUGCUAAGGUGUUGCUAUGCGGUUGCUAAGGUGUUGCUAUGGUAUCCUGGGUGGUUGCUAAGGUGUUGCUAGGUGGUUGCUAGGUGGUUGCUAAGGUGUUGCUAUGGUACCUGGGGUGGUUGCUAAGGUGUUGCUAGGUGGUUGCUAGGGUGUUGCUAUGGUAUCCGGGGUGGUUGCUAAGGUGUUGCUAG